GAACCGUAAGAGGCGAAGGCAUCAACCAUGGACAAGGCAUUGCUGAUGAGACGGGCGACAGACUCGAGCUUGUGCAUCAUCUUCUUGAUGAAUUUGGUCUUUUUUACGACGGACAGCGACGAGGUACAGUCGGUCUGAUAUGUGAGAACCCCGCUGAGCCAUUGCUGCAUGUCUUGGACUUGCUUGUCCAGGUCGGAGGCGACGCAUUCCUGGAGCCAGAACUUGGAGGACGUGAGAAGGUCCUUGCAGUCCCGAGCGAUGCCCUUGACACUUACGUCGGAGGUGGACUCCUG
rnacentral:lncRNA from 1 species